UACGGAGGGAGCUAGCGUUAUUCGGAAUUACUGGGCGUAAAGCGCACGUAGGCGGCUUUGUAAGUUAGAGGUGAAAGCCUGGAGCUCAACUCCAGAACUGCCUUUAAGACUGCAUCGCUUGAAUCCUGGAGAGGUGAGUGGAAUUCCGAGUGUAGAGGUGAAAUUCGUAGAUAUUCGGAAGAACACCAGUGGCGAAGGCGGCUCACUGGACAGGUAUUGACGCUGAGGUGCGAAAGCGUGGGAGCAAGCAGG
rnacentral:rRNA from 1 species